CUACGGGGGGCUCCAGUGGGGAAUAUUGCACAAUGGGCGCAAGCCUGAUGCAGCCAUGCCGCGUGUAUGAAGAAGGCCUUCGGGUUGUAAAGUACUUUCAGCGGGGAGGAAGGGAGUAAAGUUAAUACCUUUGCUCAUUGACGUUACCCGCAGAAGAAGCACCGGCUAACUCCGUGCCAGCAGCCGCGGUAAUACGGAGGGUGCAAGCGUUAAUCGGAAUUACUGGGCGUAAAGCGCACGCAGGCGGUUUGUUAAGUCAGAUGUGAAAUCCCCGGGCUCAACCUGGGAACUGCAUCUGAUACUGGCAAGCUGGAGUCUCGUAGAGGGGGGUAGAAUUCCAGGUGUAGCGGUGAAAUGCGUAGAGAUCUGGAGGAAUACCGGUGGCGAAGGCGGCCCCCUGGACGAAGACUGACGCUCAGGUGCGAAAGCGUGGGGAGCAAACAGGAUUAGAUACCCGGGUAGUC
rnacentral:rRNA from 1 species